AUGUGGAUAGACUGUGAGGAGCUUCCUCUGAGAAACAGUCAUGAUCAAGUUGAGAGCCUGUGGGUUAGAAUUAGGGAUGGGUCUAACAAAGGCCAGCUGGUGAUAGGAGUAUACUAUAGGCCACCUGAUCAAGGGGAGACUGUUGACGAGGCUUUCCUGCUUCAGAAGCGGGAGGCUUCGUGCUCGCAGGCUCUUGUCCUGACGGGGGACUUCAACCACCCGGAUAUCUCCUGGAUGGACCACACGGCGAGUUGCAAGAGGUCCAGGAGGCUCCUAGAAUGUGUUGAUGAUAACUUUCUGGUCCAGGUGUUGGACAGACUGACCAGAGGUGAAGCGCUGCUGGACCUGCUGCUCACCAAUGUGGAGGAAAUAAUGAAUGGUGUUAAGGCUGGAGGCAGCCUGGGUUGCAGUGACCACGCUCAGGUUGAGUUUGUGAUCUCGAGAACUGUGGGCCUGGUGAAGAGUGGCAUCAGGACCCUGAACUUUGGGAGAGCAAACUUUAAGCUGUUCAAUGGACUGUUGGCCGAGAUCCCCUGGGAUGCUUUCUUUAAAAACAAAAAUGCUGAGGAGAGCUGGUUACUCUUCAAGGACGCCUUCCUGAGAGCGCAAGAACUCUCUGUCCCACUGAAUAAGAAAGCGGGCAGAGGAGGGAAGAUGCCGGCGUGGCUCAGCAAGGACCUGCUGAGGGAGCUGAGGGCGAAGAAAGGUGUGUACAAACUCUGGAAACAAGGGCAUGCCACCUGGGAAGAAUACAGGGAUGCCGUCCGGACUUGCAGAUGUGGGAUCAGGAAAGCCAAGGCGCAGGUGGAACUGAACUUGGCGAGGGACGUGAAAAACAACAGGAAGACUUUCUAUAGGUACAUUGGCCAGAAGAGACAGGCCAAAGCGAGUUUACCUCCUUUGGUAAAUGUAAAAGGAGAACUGGCUUUAACGGAUGGAGAGAAGGCUGAGGUACUGAAUGAGUUCUUUGCCUCGGUCUUCACUGGCGGCCAGGACUCCAGUACUCCUCCCGUCCCUGAGCCCUGCAUCCCUACACCUCUGGGUGGGGACUGGGGUGGUAAAUCCCCCCCGCUGUGA
ensembl:lncRNA